UACGAAGGGUGCAAGCGUUAAUCGGAAUUACUGGGCGUAAAGCGCGCGUAGGUGGCUUGAUAAGUUGGAUGUGAAAUCCCCGGGCUCAACCUGGGAACUGCAUCCAAAACUGUCUGGCUAGAGUGUGGUAGAGGGUAGUGGAAUUUCCAGUGUAGCGGUGAAAUGCGUAGAUAUUGGAAGGAACACCAGUGGCGAAGGCGACUACCUGGACUAACACUGACACUGAGGUGCGAAAGCGUGGGGAGCAAACAGG
rnacentral:rRNA from 1 species